UACUAUGUUACGACUUAUCCCAUAUUAAAAUUAAUGAGAGUGACGGGAGAUAUGUACAUAUUCCAGAGCUAAGAUCAAUUUAACAAUCUUCAUAAAUUUACAUUCAAAUCCACCUUCAAACUUAUUUUACAAUAAAUAAUCCGUCUAUAAAAAAAUAUUGUAAUCCAUCUCCACUCUAACCAUUCACUUUUGUUUCACUGCACCUUGAUCUGAAAAAUUUUUUAAUAAAAAAUUACAAAAAUUUAUCUCUAAAAAGAUUUUAAUAAACGACGGUAUACAUAUUAAAUAAGGUCAAGAAAGUUCCAACGCGGAUUAUCGAUAACGGGACAGAUUCCUCUAAAAAGACUGAAAUACCGCCAAAUUCUUUAAAUUUAAAGAUCAUAUCUAAUAAUAUUAAGGUCUUAAAAUAUUUACAUAAUCAAUAAUAGGGUAUCUAAUCCUAGUUU
rnacentral:rRNA from 1 species